CUACGGGCCGCUCCAGUGGGGAAUAUUGCACAAUGGGCGCAAGCCUGAUGCAGCAACGCCGCGUGAGGGAUGAAGGCCUUCGGGUUGUAAACCUCUUUUAGCAGGGAAGAAGCGAAAGUGACGGUACCUGCAGAAAAAGCACCGGCUAACUACGUGCCAGCGGCCGCGGUAAUACGUAGGGUGCAAGCGUUGUCCGGAAUUAUUGGGCGUAAAGAGCUCGUAGGCGGUUUGUCACGUCUGCUGUGAAAAUCCAAGGCUCAACCUUGGACUUGCAGUGGGUACGGGCAGGCUAGAGUGCGGUAGGGGAGAUGGGAAUUCCUGGUGUAGCGGUGGAAUGCGCAGAUAUCAGGAGGAACACCAAUGGCGAAGGCACAUCUCUGGGCCGUAACUGACGCUGAGGAGCGAAAGCGUGGGGAGCGAACAGGAUUAGAUACCCGGGUAGUC
rnacentral:rRNA from 1 species